AUUGAACGCUAGCGGCAGGCCUAACACAUGCAAGUCGAACGAGUGGCGGACGGGUGAGUAAUAUAUGGGAAACUGCCUGAUAGCGGGGGCUAACUAAUGGAAAGGGAAGCUAAUACCGCAUACCAUGCGAGGGGCCGAUAGAGGAUUAUCUAGUUGGUGGGGUAACGGCUCAACAAGGCGACAAUCCCUAGCUGGUCUGAGCGGAUGACCAUCCACACUGGUACUGAGACACGGCCCAGACUCCUACGGGAGGCAGCAGUGGGGAAUAUUGAACAAUGGGCGAAACCCUGAUGCAGCCAUGCCGCGUGUAUGAAGAAGGCCUUCGGGUUGUAAAGUACUUUCAGCGGGGAGGCGUUACCUGCAGAAGAAGCACCGGCUAACUCCGUGCCAGCCGCCGCGGUAAUUC
rnacentral:rRNA from 1 species